rnacentral:rRNA from 1 species
ACGGGAGGCAGCAGUGGGGAAUAUUGGGCAAUGGGCGAAAGCCUGACCCAGCAACGCCGCGUGAAGGAUGAAGGUCUUCGGAUUGUAAACUUCUUUGAUCAGGGACGACUUUUGACGGUACCUGAAGAACAAGUCACGGCUAACUACGUGCCAGCAGCCGCGGUAAUACGUAGGUGACAAGCGUUAUCCGGAUUUACUGGGUGUAAAGGGCGUGUAGGCGGUUUUGCAAGUCAGAUAUGAAAUUCCCGGGCUUAACUUGGGCGCUGCAUCUGAAACUGCAGAACUUGAGUACUGGAGGGGAUAGCGGAAUUCCUAGUGUAGCGGUAAAUGCGCAGAUAUUAGGAGGAACACCGGUGGCGAAGGCGGCUAUCUGGACAGUAACUGACGCUGAGGCGCGAAAGCGUUGGGAGCAAACAGGAUUAGAUACCCUGGUA